rnacentral:ncRNA from 1 species
CGAAGUUAAGGGCAAACUACCCGAAAGGGUGGGACGCAAAGCUACGGGUCUACAGCUCACAAAAGCCAUGACCGCCGGGUUGCCGUG